rnacentral:rRNA from 1 species
UACGUAGGGGGCAAGCGUUGUCCGGAAUUAUUGGGCGUAAAGCGCGCGCAGGCGGCCUUUUAAGUCUGAUGUGAAAGCCCCCGGCUCAACCGGGGAGGGUCAUUGGAAACUGGAAGGCUUGAGUGCAGAAGAGAAGAGCGGAAUUCCACGUGUAGCGGUGAAAUGCGUAGAGAUGUGGAGGAACACCAGUGGCGAAGGCGGCUCUUUGGUCUGUAACUGACGCUGAGGCGCGAAAGCGUGGGGAGCGAACAGG